rnacentral:rRNA from 1 species
CCUACGGGAGGCAGCAGUGAGGAAUAUUGGUCAAUGGGCGCGAGCCUGAACCAGCCAAGUAGCGUGAAGGAUGACUGCCCUACGGGUUGUAACUUUCUUUUAUAAAGGAAUAAAGUGAGGCACUAGUGCCUUUUUGUAUGUACUUUAUGAAUAAGGAUCGGCUAACUCCGUGCCAGCGGCCGCGGUAAUACGGAGGAUUCGAACGUUAUCCGGAUUUAUUGGGUUUAAAGGGAGCGUAGAUGGGGUGUUAAGUCAGUUGUGAAAGGUUGCGGCUCAACCGGAAGAUUGCAAUUGAUACUGGCAGCCUUGAGUACAGGUGAGGUAGGCGGAAUUCGUGGUGUAGCGGUGAAAUGCUUAGAUAUCACGAAGAACUCCGAUUGCGAAGGCAGCCUACUAAACUGCCACUGACAUUGAUGCUCGAAAGUGUGGGUAUCAAACAGGAUUAGAUACCCGGGUAGUC